AUAAACAAACAAUGGACCCGCACCAGACUGAACAAGCCAGGUCAGCUCAACCCAGACACAAUGAAGAAUUUUAUGAACAGACCAGAAUUCAAGAAUACACAGCGCUGGGCCUGGGUUCACCGGUGGGAUAUAGCCCAUGGCUACCAAAGAAAAACCCAAAAUUACAGUGCUAAACAGAACACACAGGCACAUGUGGAGCCACACGGGCAGCAGAACACACAUGUGAAAACUCCAUUCCCCAGCUGGUAGCGACCUCUGCCCCUUCACCGGCCGGUGGCGGUGCCCAGACCUCCUUUGUGCAUCCGAAUGUCGGCCCGUAACUGCUGAGGCGCCCUGCGAGGGAGGCAGCAGGCUGCAGGAGGAUGCCCUGCGUGAGGGAGCAGCACCCCGUCCUCCGGCUGUACCGCCUGCUGCAGGGAGAGGCUGAGCGGAGCCCUGGCCU